GCCUGAUGCAGCGACGCCGCGUGAGGGAUGACGGCCUUCGGGUUGUAAACCUCUUUCAAUAGGGACGAAGCGCAAGUGACGGUACCUAUAGAAGAAGGACCGGCCAACUACGUGCCAGCAGCCGCGGUAAUACGUAGGGUCCGAGCGUUGUCCGGAAUUACUGGGCGUAAAGAGCUCGUAGGUGGUUUGUCGCGUUGUUCGUGAAAACUCACAGCUCAACUGUGGGCGUGCGGGCGAUACGGGCAGACUAGAGUACUGCAGGGGAGACUGGAAUUCCUGGUGUAGCGGUGGAAUGCGCAGAUAUCAGGAGGAACACCGGUGGCGAAGGCGGGUCUCUGGGCAGUAACUGACGCUGAGGAGCGAAAGCGUGGGGAGCGAACAGGAUUAGAUACCCUGGUAGUCCACGCCGUAAACGGUGGGUACUAGGUGUGGGUUUCCUUCCUUGGGAUCCGUGCCGUAGCUAACGCAUUAAGUACCCCGCCUGGGGAGUACGGCCGCAAGGCUAAAACUCAAAGAAAUUGACGGGGGCCCGCACAAGCGGCGGAGCAUGUGGAUUAAUUCGAUGCAACGCGAAGAACCUUACCUGGGUUUGACAUGCACAGGACGCCGGCAGAGAUGUCGGUUCCCUUGUGGCCUG
rnacentral:rRNA from 1 species